GACGAACGCUGGCGGCGUGCUUGACACAUGCAAGUCGAACGGAAAGGCCCAGCUUGCUGGGUACUCGAGUGGCGAACGGGUGAGUAACACGUGGGUGAUCUGCCCUGCACUCUGGGAUAAGCCUGGGAAACUGGGUCUAAUACCGGAUAUGAUCAACUGUCGCAUGGUGGUUGGUGGAAAGCUUUUGCGGUGUGGGAUGGGCCCGCGGCCUAUCAGCUUGUUGGUGGGGUAAUGGCCUACCAAGGCGACGACGGGUAGCCGACCUGAGAGGGUGAUCGGCCACACUGGGGCUGAGACACGGCCCAGACUCCUACGGGAGGCAGCAGUGGGGAAUAUUGCACAAUGGGCGCAAGCCUGAUGCAGCGACGCCGCGUGAGGGAUGACGGCCUUCGGGUUGUAAACCUCUUUCACCAGGGACGAAGCGUGAGUGACGGUACCUGGAGAAGAAGCACCGGCCAACUACGUGCCAGCCGCCGCAGUAA
rnacentral:rRNA from 1 species